CCCCUGAUGACGCUGCGGCAUGCCUUACACAUGCAAGUCGAACGGCAGCACGGGGGCAACCCUGGUGGCGAGUGGCGAACGGGUGAGUAAUACAUCGGAACGUGUCCUGUAGUGGGGGAUAGCCCGGCGAAAGCCGGAUUAAUACCGCAUACGCUCUACGGAGGAAAGGGGGGGAUCUUAGGACCUCCCGCUACAGGGGCGGCCGAUGGCAGAUUAGCUAGUUGGUGGGGUAAAGGCCUACCAAGGCGACGAUCUGUAGCUGGUCUGAGAGGACGACCAGCCACACUGGGACUGAGACACGGCCCAGACUCCUACGGGAGGCAGCAGUGGGGAAUUUUGGACAAUGGGGGAAACCCUGAUCCAGCAAUGCCGCGUGUGUGAAGAAGGCCUUCGGGUUGUAAAGCACUUUUGUCCGGAAAGAAAACCUCUGGGUUAAUACCCCGGGGGGAUGACGGUACCGGAAGAAUAAGCACCGGCUAACUACGUGCCAGCAGCCGCGGUAAUACGUAGGGUGCAAGCGUUAAUCGGAAUUACUGGGCGUAAAGCGUGCGCAGGCGGUCCGCUAAGACAGAUGUGAAAUCCCCGGGCUUAACCUGGGAACUGCAUUUGUGACUGGCGGGCUAGAGUAUGGCAGAGGGGGGUAGAAUUCCACGUGUAGCAGUGAAAUGCGUAGAGAUGUGGAGGAAUACCGAUGGCGAAGGCAGCCCCCUGGGCCAAUACUGACGCUCAUGCACGAAAGCGUGGGGAGCAAACAGGAUUAGAUACCCUGGUAGUCCACGCCCUAAACGAUGUCAACUAGUUGUCGGGUCUUCAUUGACUUGGUAACGUAGCUAACGCGUGAAGUGACCGCCUG
rnacentral:rRNA from 1 species